rfam:Myotis brandtii contig195696, whole genome shotgun sequence.
AUACUUACCUGGUAGGGGAGACACCAUGAUCACGAAGGUUGUUUUCCCAGGGCGAGGCCUAUCACACUCCGCAUGUGCUGACCAUUGUGAUUUCCCCAAAUGUGGGACACUCGACUGCACAAUUUGUGGUAGUGGGGGAUGGUGCAAAAGGAAUAAACAUUUG